rnacentral:rRNA from 1 species
GAUGAACGCUGGCGGCGUGCCUAAUACAUGCAAGUCGAGCGAAUGGAUUAAGAGCUUGCUCUUAUGAAGUUAGCGGCGGACGGGUGAGUAACACGUGGGUAACCUGCCCAUAAGACUGGGAUAACUCCGGGAAACCGGGGCUAAUACCGGAUAACAUUUUGAACCGCAUGGUUCGAAAUUGAAUGGCGGCUACGGCUGUCAAUUAUGGAUGGACCCGGGUCGCAUUAGCUAGUUGGUGAGGUAACGGCUCACCAAGGCAACGAUGCGUAGCCGACCUGAGAGGGUGAUCGGCCACACUGGGACUGAGACACGGCCCAGACUCCUACGGGAGGCAGCAGUAGGGAAUCUUCCGCAAUGGACGAAAGUCUGACGGAGCAACGCCGCGUGAGUGAUGAAGGCUUUCGGGUCGUAAAACUCUGUUGUUAGGGAAGAACAAGUGCUAGUUGAAUAAGCUGGCACCUUGACGGUACCUAACCAGAAAGCCACGGCUAACUACGUGCCAGCAGCCGCCGUAA